GUAAUAUCCAUGCCCCAGAUGAAAGUCUAUUUUCAGAAUCUAAGCAAGACAAGACAAGUGAAAAUGAGAGCUAUAAAGUGAGUUCCUAGCAGGAUCGAGUACUUAAGGCAUCUACGGCUACAGCUCUUCUUUCAACCCUCUGAGUUUGCCCCUAAGCAAGAAUCAGAUAGUUACCGCCUCACUUCAGGAUUUGUAAAGAACAUUUACAGGACGGUGAUACACAGAAAAGUAAUAUCUCAUUUGCUAUGGUAUUACAGUGCGGCAAAGACAUAUUGUGCAACUGUGACACCACUUCAAGAAAUAUUUAUAUAGUCGGUCAUGGUGGUGCACACCAGUAAUCCCAGCACUUGGAAGGCUGAGGUAAGUUGGCUGAGAGUUUGAGGCCAGCCUGGGCUAUAUAGCAAGUUCAAGGCUAGCCUGAAUUACAUAGCAAGACCUUGUCUCAAAAACACCAAAAGACAAAACUCCAAGAAAUACUUUUAUAAUAAUAUAAACAUAAAAUAAGUUUAGCUUUUUCAAAUUAAUAAUAUUUAUUGGUAUAUUUUACAGUACUUAGUAAGAAAAUUGUUUCUUAAAGAAAGCUAUACCACAAAUAUUUUUUAAAGUAAAUAUGACAAAUAUCUUCAUCACUUGGGUAAAGAAAAGAUUUCUUAAAUAAGAUGCAAAAAGUCACUAAUUAAGACCAAGUGGGUACAUCACAGUAUAUUAAAAUUAAGAAUUUCUUUUCAACAGAAAACAUCUUUCAGAACAUGAGCAUGUUGAUGGACCCUUGUAAUCCCAGCGCUCUGGAGGUCUAAAGCAAAAGGAAUGCAAGUUCGAGCCCAGUCUGGGUCAUGUAAAAUGUUCAUGAAACCCUGACCUAAAUAAAGUACACAAUAGUGUGGGGAGGUCUUGGGCCCUGUGACCAAUCCCCAAGGCCAAUUUUUUUAAAAAAUUAAUCACUAAAAAAGCAAAAAGGUAAAGAAUAGAAAAUAUUUGUGAUAUACAUGAUAGGCUCUAAUUCAGACAUAAAAUAUCCCUUAUAAAUAACUGUUUUUAAAAAAUGAGCAGAUUUGGCCAGUUCCUCACAGAAAAGGAAUAUGCAAAUGACCAUUACAUUUAUGAAAAUAUGCAUGUCAUUAGUCAUCAGAGAAAUUGUGCAUAUUAAUAAAACACACAAUAAAAUAGCAAUACAUACCCACCAGAAUGGCUAAAAUGGAAAAGGUUGAAAAAGUGUUGGUGAAGUGGGUAAGGAAGUAAUCAAGCAUGCACUACCCCCGGGAGUGCGAAAUGACGCCAUCACUUUAUAAAUAGCUUGGCAUUAUCAACUAAAGCUGAACACAGGCAUGCUCUAAGACCCAGUAAUUCAUAUGUUGCAUUCAUACCAUUGCACAUUAAAAGAUUUGUGUAGCAGCAUUCAUAACAACGUCACUGACAGUGGCCCAAACCUGGAAAUGAGUGCUCGUUAACUGGAAAAAGGGUAAAGAUAUUGUGGUGCAUUCAAAUAGAAAUGCAUUAUAUACCAAAGCAAAUGGACAGAUUAUUGCUAAAUUGCCAAAAUAUGGAUGAAUUUCACAAAUGUAAUGCUGAAGAUGUGUGUAUAUUUCUUUAAAGCAGGUAUGAAAACUGUCCCACUGUGAGGUUCAAUUUAUGUAAAGUACCAUACCAGGCAACACUACCAGUGGUGCUAUAAAUCCGGUCAUGGCUAUUUUUUCAGAUGACAGUCACUAGGAACAGAAGAGGGAGCCUCUGUGAGCUGAUCUAUUCCAUUUCUUAAUCUGAAGACAGAUUACACAGGUGUGCUCACUUUCCGAAGUUUCAACACAGUUUAAACUUACCAUUUGUACACAUGGAAGUACGAUGGUUUUACUUCAAUAAAUGAUCUUGAAAAUAAAA
ensembl:lincRNA